rnacentral:rRNA from 1 species
UACGUAGGGGGCAAGCGUUGUCCGGAGUUACUGGGCGUAAAGCGCACGCAGGCGGUCUUUUAAGUUUGGAGUGACAGUUGGUGGCUUAACUGCCAAAGUGCUUCGAAAACUGAAAGACUUGAGGGCUUCAGAGGGACACGGAAUUCCGGGUGGAGUGGUGAAAUGCGUAGAGAUCCGGAGGAAGACCGGUGGCGAAGGCGGUCUGCUGGGCAGUUUCUGACACUGAGGCGCGAAAGCGUGGGGAGCAAACAGG